rnacentral:rRNA from 1 species
UACGGGAGGGGGCUAGCGUUGUUCGGAAUUACUGGGCGUAAAGCGCGCGUAGGCGGAUCUGCAAGUCGGAUGUGAAAUCCCUCGGCUCAACCAAGGAAGUGCAUCCGAAACUGCUGAGCUGAGUUCUUAAGAGGAUCGCGGAAUUCCCGGUGUACGGAGGUGAAAUUCGUAGAUAUCGGAGGAACACCAGUGGCGAAGGCGGCGAUCUGGGAAGAUACUGACGCUGAGAGGCGAAAGCGUGGGGAGCAAACAGG